rnacentral:rRNA from 1 species
GACGAACGCUGGCGGCGUGCCUAAUACAUGCAAGUCGUGCGAACCACUUCGGUGGUGAGCGGCGGACGGGUGAGUAACACGUGGGCAAUCUGCCCGACAGACCGGGAUAACGCUUGGAAACGAGUGCUAAUACCGGAUACGCUCUUGACUCGCAUGGUUCGAGAGGGAAAGCUGCCUUUGCAGCACUGUCGGAUGAGCCCGCGGCGCACUAGCUAGUUGGUGAGGUAACGGCUCACCAAGGCGACGAUGCGUAGCCGACCUGAGAGGGUGACCGGCCACACUGGGACUGAGACACGGCCCAGACUCCUACGGGAGGCAGCAGUAGGGAAUCUUCCGCAAUGGGCGCAAGCCUGACGGAGCAACGCCGCGUGAGUGAUGAAGGCCUUCGGGUUGUAAAACUCUGUCUUCUGUGAAGAACAAGCCUAUGAAGAGAAUGCUUAGGCCCUGACGGUAACAGAGGAGGAAGCCCCGGCUAACUACGUGCCAGCCGCCGCCGUAA